UAACCUGCCCAAGAGAUCGGGAUAACACCUGGAAACAGAUGCUAAUACCGGAUAACAACAGAUGAUGCCUAUCAACUGUUUAAAAGAUGGUUCUGCUAUCACUCUUGGAUGGACCUGCGGUGCAUUAGCUAGUUGGUAGGGUAACGGCCUACCAAGGCUAUGAUGCAUAGCCGACGUUGAGAGACUGAUCGGCCACAUUGGGACUGAGACACGGCCCAAACUCCGUACGGGGAGGCAGCAGCC
rnacentral:rRNA from 1 species